AUUGAACGCUGGCGGCAUGCCUUACACAUGCAAGUCGAACGGCAGCACGGAGCUUGCUCUGGUGGCGAGUGGCGAACGGGUGAGUAAUAUAUCGGAACGUACCCUAGAGUGGGGGAUAACGUAGCGAAAGUUACGCUAAUACCGCAUACGAUCUACGGAUGAAAGUGGGGGAUCGCAAGACCUCAUGCUCAUGGAGCGGCCGAUAUCUGAUUAGCUAGUUGGUAGGGUAAAAGCCUACCAAGGCAUCGAUCAGUAGCUGGUCUGAGAGGACGACCAGCCACACUGGAACUGAGACACGGUCCAGACUCCUACGGGAGGCAGCAGUGGGAAAUUUUGGACAAUGGGCGAAAGCCUGAUCCAGCAAUGCCGCGUGAGUGAAGAAGGCCUUCGGGUUGUAAAGCUCUUUUGUCAGGGAAGAAACGGUUGUCUCUAAUACAGAUGGCUAAUGACGGUACCUGAAGAAUAAGCACCGGCUAACUACGUGCCAGCAGCCGCGGUAAUACGUAGGGUGCAAGCGUUAAUCGGAAUUACUGGGCGUAAAGCGUGCGCAGGCGGUUAUGUAAGACAGAUGUGAAAUGCCCGGGCUUAACCUGGGAACUGCAUUUGUGACUGCAUGGCUAGAGUUUGGCAGAGGGGGGUAGAAUUCCACGUGUAGCAGUGAAAUGCGUAGAUAUGUGGAGGAACACCGAUGGCGAAGGCAGCCCCCUGGGUCAAGACUGACGCUCAUGCACGAAAGCGUGGGGAGCAAACAGGAUUAGAUACCCUGGUAGUCCACGCCCUAAACGAUGUCUACUAGUUGUCGGGUCUUAAUUGACUUGGUAACGCAGCUAACGCGUGAAGUAGACCGCCUGGGGAGUACGGUCGCAAGAUUAAAACUCAAAGGAAUUGACGGGGACCCGCACAAGCGGUGGAUGAUGUGGAUUAAUUCGAUGCAACGCGAAAAACCUUACCUACCCUUGACAUGGCUGGAAUCCCUGAGAGAUCGGGGAGUGCUCGAAAGAG
rnacentral:rRNA from 1 species